GCUGGGUCGAUGUUUGAUUAUUAUGAGGAUCUUAAGCAGAACCUUGAGUAUUCUUGGAAGUCUGGCAUUAUCCCAAAUUGGCUGAAAGAGGUGAGAUGAGAACAAAUGGAAGCUCGACAAGAUGAGAUCGUAGAGAGAGAUACAUUGUUUAUGCCCAACCAGACGCAGGUAGACAGACAAGACAUAGAGUGGUGUCAUGAGUGUUAUGAAGCUCCUUUGCUAUUGGUCGCUAAAACACACCUAAGAAACCCUGAAGAUGGUGAAUUCGACGGUACCGUAAUAAUAUGAAAUUACGAUUUUGCAGAGGAAGACAGGGGAAGUAACCGGAGAAGCAAAGAGCUUUCUCUGUUCCACCUUUAAAACUCUGCCGUAAAAAGAGGUAAGGGCUGAGUUCUUGACUCUGACAUCAAAAAGAGGUUUUAGGAUGGAUACUGCCAUGGAGAAUUAUAGUUCAGAUAGUGAUGAAGAAGUAAAAGACAAGGCGACCACCGUUAACGAGAGGGAAAUCUAUCAGGCUGCAU